rnacentral:rRNA from 1 species
AUUGAACGCUGGCGGCAGGCCUAACACAUGCAAGUCGAGCGGAUGAAGGGAGCUUGCUCCUGGAUUCAGCGGCGGACGGGUGAGUAAUGCCUGGGAAUCUGCCUGGUAGUGGGGGAUAACGUCCGGAAACGGGCGCUAAUACCGCAUACGUCCUGAGGGAGAAAGUGGGGGAUCUUCGGACCUCACGCUAUCAGAUGAGCCUAGGUCGGAUUAGCUAGUUGGUGGGGUAAGGCCUACCAAGGCGACGAUCCGUAACUGGUCUGAGAGGAUGAUCAGUCACACUGGAACUGAGACACGGUCCAGACUCCUACGGGAGGCAGCAGUGGGGAAUAUUGGACAAUGGGCGAAAGCCUGAUCCAGCCGUGCCGCGUGUGUGAAGAAGGUCUUCGGAUUGUAAAGCACUUUAAGUUGGGAGGAAGGGCAGUAAGUUAAUACCUUGCUGUUUUGACGUUACCAACAGAAUAAGCACCGGCUAACUUCGUG